CAUGGAUGAUGAAAAUACAGAUGAGAAAAAGGGUCUACAACUGGGAUAGCUGGAUUUCACAAAGAAGAAACCCCAGACAGCUAGAACUUUACUCAUUCUACUAUCCAUGAAAUAUUAAAAACAUAUAGCUCUCAGGAGGCUUGGAGCCUGUGCUUACAAAAAGAAGUAGAUGAAAGUAGGCUAUAAAUUACUUCACCUGGAUGGGCUUGGGCCCAAGGCAUCCUAAACUUUCAAC
rnacentral:lncRNA from 1 species